ACUUUUUUCAAAUUUUAUCGAAUUUUAUGAUAAUAGUAAGGGAAAUUUAUAGCUUUAAGCAAAAUAACAUUUAAACUAUUAAAAUGCUAAAAAUAUAAGUAAAAAAAAUUAAAAACAAAAGAGCACCUCUUAGUUUCUAAUGGAAUAUAUAAAGAUGACUUUUUUAUGAAACAAUCAACACUGAUCUGUUGGAAAUUCCUUUAUCCACAGCUAACUUCAAUCAAAGAAAAACCCUAAAGCUAAGCUUCCAAAGUUUAACAAUUCCCUAAAUUUACAGCAAAACUACCAAACCAAUUUCCAACAGAGUUCCUGAUAACACCCUGCAAAUCCUAUGAAACCAGAAUUACUGUUUUGAAAAGCAAUUUUAUUUUCGAAUGGUAUAAACACAUACUUCACUAAGUGCUUUUGGAGCGGUCUAAGCUAGUCCCCACUAGUUCCACCAUCAUGAUAACAUGUACGAGCAUGCCAUAAUGGUUUUGGGUAAGACUUGUCGGAAAUGUUUAUCAUAUUACAUUUAGUUCACUCCAAUAUUUCACACAAAUCAAACUAUUUAAAUCAAAAAAUAUGUUUGAAGAAAAAAAAAUUAUUUUUUUGAUUCAGUACAACAAGCAUUAUAAGUUCGAUCUUGUUCUAACACAUCAAUUAAAAGUUUAAAACUGUGACUUUUAUUGCAAGUUCUAAUUUAUU
rnacentral:lncRNA from 1 species